rnacentral:rRNA from 1 species
CGUCACCCGUAGGCAGCAGGUACAACAGCCUCAACUGUCUGUUCUCUGAAUAAAGUGGCGGCGGAGGAAACAAAGAACGACGACACCAGAGGGCACCCGGCAUGCCGUUCCCCACGCGCCUCCCGCCGCCGGCCACCGCGGCGGCCGCUACCGCCGCGGCCGUGCUCGCGGCUGUCGCACUCCGCCGGUACCUCUCCUCCCGCUCCCGCGCAGCCGCGUCCGCUCAUAGCACCAGCGGCGGAGCCCCAGCCGCCACCACGUUCCUCGUGCUCUCCGGCAAGUCCCCCCAGGACCAGCAGCUCCUCGCCUCCGCCGCCGGCGAUCUCUCUCUGGCGGAGGAGUGCGGGGGCGAGCUCGCCGUCUCCCUCGCGCUCGACGCCAGCGGGGACGCGGGCUUCGACGCGGCCGCCUACAUGGGCGCGCUCCAGGCGCGGCGCUUCGGGAGGUGGAUGCUUUGGUCGCCGCGGAUGGCAUCCACGCACGAUAUCGUGACGCAGAACUUCGCCAAACUUCCGGUGGGCGUCGUGUGCGCCACAGACGUGCAGUUCAAAGGCAGAGGAAGAUCAAAGAAUGUGUGGGAAUCACCUCCAGGUUGUCUCAUGUUCUCGUUUACAUCACAGAUGAGUGAUGCCCGCAAGCUUCCCCUUAUGCAAUAUGUCGUUUGCCUUGCCAUGACCGAAGCCAUCAAAGAUUUGUGUUGUGCUAAGGGACUUCCAGAGCUAGAUGUAAGGAUAAAGUGGCCUAAUGAUCUAUAUCUGAAGGGGUUAAAAGUUGGUGGCAUUCUUUGUACCUCAUCAUAUGAGCCGAAAGUCUACAAUAUUUGCACUGGUAUUGGUUUAAAUGUCGACAAUGAAAAGCCUACUACAUGUUUGAAUGCUGCACUCCAAGAACUAAAGGCUAAUUCACCAAGACUUAAACGAGAAGACAUACUAGCAUCAUUCUUCAACAAAUUUGAAGUUCUUUUUGAUAUUUUCUCAAAUCAAGGAUUUCAGGCCCUCGAGGAGCAAUACUACAACUCAUGGCUUCACAGUGGCCAAAGAGUCGUCGUACAGGAUGCGCAUGAAGGCCAGUCUGUGAACAGUGUGGUCACGAUUAAGGGGCUAACACCAAGUGGCUACUUAUAUGCUGUUGGUGAGGACGGCAAGAGCUAUGAGCUGCACCCUGAUGGUAACAGCUUUGAUUUCUUCACAGGAUUGGUGAGGAGAAAGAUAGAUGCAUAGUACGUUGUCAGUAUCUGGGCUCCAGUGUAUACUACGAACACAGGUGUUAUUCUCCAGAGAAAUCAGAGUUAUCUUCUCAUGGCAGCUUACUUAUGAGAAGCUGGUUUCUCAAAAAAAAACUUAUGGGAGCUGGUCUCAUACUAAAACUGUUACAAACUCCGUGCUACUGCACAGACUGCCUGUUCAAAUACAAUGCCAUCAACGGGAUCCCGCGGGGCGAAGAAAACAUGAGCCCUGGCCUGGAGGCUGAAGCACGGGACUUGGCUGAAUCUGAAUUAGCAUGGACCAACAAAUCAGGAGCGAACCGAGUGAAAGAAUUCUAGGAAAAGGGCAGGGUCUCUGAAGACAGUCCUAAGCUAUUCUGUAACUAGCUUAAAACGGUGUGCUCUGUAUGCUUGUAAAAGUAACAUUGAGUGCAGUUUUUGUGGAGGUUGAAAUGAGAGGAGCUGAACUAUGUUCCAGACUGCUGGACUAACCUUUGGUUUGUGCGAAGCUCUUUCUGCUUCCUCUGUUCCACAUCGAGCUUCCAGCACACUGAUUCUUGUUUCCACUUUUUGGGGUUUAUUUAGCACUCAUGAAUUCACUCACCAA